AACUGCGCGCUAACCUAGAAC
rnacentral:siRNA from 1 species